AUUGAACGCUGGCGGCAGGCCUAACACAUGCAAGUCGAACGGUAACAGGAAACAGCUUGCUGUUUCGCUGACGAGUGGCGGACGGGUGAGUAAUGUCUGGGAAACUGCCUGAUGGAGGGGGAUAACUACUGGAAACGGUAGCUAAUACCGCAUAACGUCGCAAGACCAAAGAGGGGGACCUUAGGGCCUCUUGCCAUCGGAUGUGCCCAGAUGGGAUUAGCUAGUAGGUGGGGUAACGGCUCACCUAGGCGACGAUCCCUAGCUGGUCUGAGAGGAUGACCAGCCACACUGGAACUGAGACACGGUCCAGACUCCUACGGGAGGCAGCAGUGGGGAAUAUUGCACAAUGGGCGCAAGCCUGAUGCAGCCAUGCCGCGUGUAUGAAGAAGGCCUUCGGGUUGUAAAGUACUUUCAGCGGGGAGGAAGGGAGUAAAGUUAAUACCUUUGCUCAUUGACGUUACCCGCAGAAGAAGCACCGGCUAACUCCGUGCCAGCAGCCGCGGUAAUACGGAGGGUGCAAGCGUUAAUCGGAAUUACUGGGCGUAAAGCGCACGCAGGCGGUUUGUUAAGUCAGAUGUGAAAUCCCCGGGCUCAACCUGGGAACUGCAUCUGAUAUUGGCAAGCUUGAGUCUCGUAGAGGGGGGUAGAAUUCCAGGUGUAGCGGUGAAAUGCGUAGAGAUCUGGAGGAAUACCGGUGGCCGAAUGCUGCCCCCCUGGGCGAAUACUGACUCUUCUUGUGCGAAAAUCGUGGGGAUCAAACAGGAUUUAUACCCUCGCACCCUUAGGGGCGAAUUCCUCGUUGGAUAUUGGGUGUAUCUAUUCCGCCGAACUUAAAGAGAAGAGCAGAGAACUAGUUUUUGUUCUCUUGUAGUCGGGUCUCAUUAACCU
rnacentral:rRNA from 1 species